UAGCUAGUUGGUGAGGUAAAGGCUUACCAAGGCGACGAUCUGUAGCGGGUCUGAGAGAAUGAUCCGCCACACUGGAACUGAGACACGGUCCAGACUCCUACGGGAGGCAGCAGUGGGGAAUUUUGGACAAUGGGGGCAACCCUGAUCCAGCCAUGCCGCGUGAGUGAAGAAGGCCUUCGGGUUGUAAAGCUCUUUCGGCCGGGAAGAAAUCGCAUGGGCCAAUACCCUGUGUGGAUGACGGUACCGGAAUAAGAAGCACCGGCUAACUACGUGCCAGCAGCCGCGGUAAUACGUAGGGUGCGAGCGUUAAUCGGGAUUACUGGGCGUAAAGCGUGCGCAGGCGGUUUUGUAAGACAGGCGUGAAAUCCCCGGGCUUAACCUGGGAACUGCGUUUGUGACUGCAAGGCUAGAGUACGGCAGAGGGGGGUGGAAUUCCACGUGUAGCAGUGAAAUGCGUAGAGAUGUGGAGGAACACCAAUGGCGAAGGCAGCCCCCUGGGUCGAUACUGACGCUCAUGCACGAAAGCGUGGGUAGCAAACAGGAUUAGAUACCCUGGUAGUCCACGCCCUAAACUAUGUCAACUAGGUGUUGGGUGGGUAAAACCAUUUAGUACCGUAGCUAACGCGUGAAGUUGACCGUCUGGGGAGUACGGCCGCAAGGUUAAAACUCAAAGGAAUUGACGGGGACCCGCACAAGCGGUGGAUGAUGUGGAUUAAUUCGAUGCAACGCGAAAAACCUUACCUACCCUUGACAUGCCAGGAACUUGCCAGAGAUGGCUUGGUGCCCGAAAGGGAGCCUGGACACAGGUGCUGCAUGGCUGUCGUCAGCUCGUGUCGUGAGAUGUUGGGUUAAGUCCCGCAACGAGCGCAACCCUUGUCGUUAAUUGCCAUCAUUUGGUUGGGCACUUUAACGAGACUGCCGGUGACAAACCGGAGGAAGGUGGGGAUGACGUCAAGUCCUCAUGGCCCUUAUGGGUAGGGCUUCACACGUCAUACAAUGGUCGGUACAAAGGGUUGCCAAGCCGCGAGGCGGAGCCAAUCCCAGAAAGCCGAUCGUAGUCCGGAUUGCAGGCUGCAACUCGCCUGCAUGAAGUCGGAAUCGCUAGUAAUCGUGGAUCAGCAUGUCACGGUGAAUACGUUCCCGGGUCUUGUACACACCGCCCGUCACACCAUGGGAGCGGGUUCCGCCAGAAGUAGGUAGCCUAACCGCAAGGGGGGCGCUUACCACGGCGGGGUUCGUGACUGGGGUGAAGUCGAAACAAGGUAGCCGUAGGGGAACCUGCGGCUG
rnacentral:rRNA from 1 species